UUUUAGUUGGUUUAUCCAGUCCUUCCUUUCUUCUCCAUUAAAUCAUUUCCUACUAAAAUUUCAUCCUACAGUCUUCCUGAUUCCAUACAGAUUAGCCAAUCUAAAUCCAGCUCCUUUCCACCUCAGCUGAUUUUUUUCAUUGUCUACCAACAGUGUCAAAUCAUUACUAAAAAUGAAUACUGACCUCAUAACCAGUUUAGCCUUUUGUUUAGCUCCAAUCUUAUGGGACAUUCCUCAUUCCUGAGUAUAUGGGAGUUACUGCAAUUUAAUUCCGUUACUAUGUUCAGCCAGCAUUUUGACAACUCAACAGCAAAGGAAAAACUUUUUUACUCUUUCCUUCCUCCCUGACUUCCCUAGAUGAAUAAGGUUACUUUUUUAAAAUUCCUGAUCCUGAAGUUGAACACAGUAUCUUAUUUUAAACCUUCAUAGAUAAUAGUUGUUUCAUCUUUGAGUGAAUUACAAUGUGCACAAUAAUAAGAUCUAGAAUACAAAAAUUGCUUUUACUGAUAAAUAUUAUUAACACUGCAUGUGAUUUUUAUUAAAGAGUUGUCCAUGGUCAGAACAAAAAUAGGAAGAGCAAGGGGUUUCAGUUAUGUGAGCGAUCUUCAUUUGCUGCAUACUUCUGUACAAUAAUUUCAUAGCCAGAAAGCUUCAAUAGACAUAUAUCUUAAAAAUAUUUGUUCCAAUGUUGACACCUGCUUGUGCCUCUGCCUCUACUUAGCCAUUUUUCUUGUUUUCAUUAAUGCUUUAAUUCCAGUUUAGCCCAUUUUGUUCCACAUUUAGUACACAUAUAAAGUGCCAUUAGACCUCUGCAUCCAGAAAACCAACUUGUUUAGAGAUGGACAGUGCAGUAAAUUAUUUGCUUAUAAUUCUAUCUAACAUUUAUUUUUAACUCUUGAUGAAGCAAUUCUGUAAAAAUGUGUUCAUACAUUUCUUGUUUGUUAGAUCCUAUCUUACUUAACAUUUUAGCUGAGAGCUCCAGAAUGUUGCAAAACAUUGUUAUAGCAGAAUAACUAAAAUACUUCUAAAUCUGUGGACAUUGACUGGUGAUUUUAGCUUGAGAGACACAUCUGAUUUGAAUGAUAAUGUACUGCAAGAAGUUUCAAACUUAGGUUGUUUCUUUUUUUGUAAUUUAUGUGUCAGAUUAUGUAUAAAUAUUGGAGAAAUCUUGGACAAAAUAAAUGAAUAUUAAGUUCUUGUAUCUACUGGAGGAGUAUUAAAAUUAUGUUUACAAUACAUUUUAUAUUACUGCACAUAGAAUCUGCUGGAUUGGCCAUGCUGGAGACUUAAGACAUUUUUAUCCGCAGAACAGGUAUUGCAGGCUUUGCUUCUUAGAGGUCUCAACCGGUAUCUGAAAAGACAGCGUUUAGGGGUGUGACUCAGACACAGGGAUAACUUACUUUGAGGUGUCUCAUGCGGUUAUGUGGCCUACAGAGCUGGCAUGUCCAGGAAGCAGUUCCUGCAUGGCUUCUGUUUCAGCAUCUUGAAGCAAACCAGGCAGGUCUCAGUUUACCUUGAAGUACAAGGCUGGAGUUACCUGUACAGGCAGAGGGCAAUGAGUCUGCCUAGGGGCAGUAAAAUCAAGAAGCAUCUCUCUUGGUGAGCCAGGGUCCUUAGUCUGCUGCAUAUGUGCUAGUUUAGAAGGAGUUUGAAGCCAUCAUAUUGUAAGUCAUCAAUGGCUACAUACUCCGUCAGUCUACCAGCGUGAGUUGUCCAAGCAAAUCACAAUACCAGUUUUCUCUCGUAGAUAUUUAUCUGUGAGAGAUACUUUAAUGAGGGUGAGAUCAAACGCAGUGAAACAGCGCAUAUUUAAAUCACAGUAGUUAAACAGUAUGUUGUUUGUGUGUGUGCCAAAUAAUCCUUGCAGAAGAAAUAUUUUGUAAAGGAAAUGAGAGUGCUACUCAGUCACUCCAGAAAGUUCAUUUCCUUUGAAGGAAAGUGCAGUUUCAAGACCUUUUACAUCAUCACCAAGUGAUACCUUCUCAGGUUUUUGUUUCUAGGGAGUCUUCAUUCUGUCACAGAGUUUCGUAGGUGUUUCAUAGAUCAGGUAUGCAUGAAGCAUAUACUGUAUGCUUUUCUGGACAGUAUUUCUAAUGCAUGGUUGACUGUGAUGGGGCGAGCUGGACUUGUCAGUCCCAUCAGGUUCUCGACAGUCCCUUUCAGUCUUCGGUUCCUGAGUGCAUUUGUGAUGCAGAUAGUUGUCCAGUGACCUGGAAUGAGACAGCCUAUUCAUUUCUGACAAACAGCCUUCAGAUAGUAGUGUCUUUUCAUUACUAAAAUGAGCAAAAUAAUAGCAGAGAUAUGAAAGGUUUGCAUCUUGUCACCAAUUCCCUUGAACCGUUUGAUUCUGUGUGCAUAAAAGCAUUGUAAUUUGUGUGUAUGUGCAUGGAUACAUACGGGCAUGUGCGUGAGAAUACACAGAAAAGCACGUAAGAGUUGUAUCAGAACAAAUGGAGCUAUUUUCAUAGCCAGACUACCAAUUAUUGAUCAUAAAAGGUAGCUUCUCAAAUACAUAGAACUUGAAGGGAGUUUCUCCACCCAUCAACAUGCACAGAUAUGUUUUGUUUGUUUAUUAUACUAUACGUGUUUCUUUACAUCUUAAAUAUGCAAAACUAAUUCUACGAUGUUGCCUGUGUCUGAAAACCAAGAUGAAAAGAGAAGAAAUAAACUUUGUUUCUUAGAAACAAAACUCAGUAAUUUCCUUUUUUGCCUAAAUUGUGCAAGCAAAUAUUUUUAUUUCUACAAGUGAUUUUUUUUUUUUAGAAUUAUUUUUAAAGGAAAUAGAAAAACCCUUAAGAUGUUUUUAACACUGGCAUUGCUCUCAAAGUCAGAUUCCACAGCUAUGCUUGCAUGGUUUUUGUAAAUAAAAAAAAAAUAUUGUUUGUACAUGUAAAUUUAUUCCAGUGUUUCUACACAAACCUGUGUGCUUGUGCUGCCAUUUAUAUGAGCAAAGUUCUGACUAACAUUAUGGAACCUGUCUUUGGGGCUCGUGGGAGAAUACAGAAAUGACUAGUGAUACUAGUGGUCUUCUUUCCUACAGAUGUUAAUCACCGGUUCUAAUACUGCAAAUAAUGUUUGUCUCAUAAAUUACAGAUAACACAUUUGGGUACUGCUGUGGCUCUACCUCCAUUACAACAUGAUUCAUUUUUUAAUAUAUCUAUUCUGGAUAAGAGCAUUUGUGAGGAUUAAAAAACCAGAAAACAUCUAGUCUGAAGUAUUUUCAUAUGUAAAACAAUCCAGGCCAUUCAUAAGAAUACAUGCAGAUACAAUAGUCACAACGUCAGAAAGGGAUUAACCAUGUAGAAAGAUUAGGUUAAUAGAGGAAUAAUUAGGAUUAGGGACUGAUCCCGCAAUAGGAUCCAUACCUAUCAAUUCUUCGCAUAUUUUUUCUAUUAUGUAUUGCUUAAUAGUAACUCAAAGUAGAACAGCUCUGUCAGUGCUCCUGGGGUAGUUUUACUGUUUUCCCAUUCUCAGAUCCCACUUGAAUAUCUGCAGACAUUCAAAUCAAAAGCCUCAGCUUUUUACUUUUCUGGGAUGGAUUUGUGCAACUUGCUGAUUUGUGGGAGCAGGACUUGUGCUCCUCAGUACCGGUUAUAACUAAAUUGUUAAAGUAGCUUGGAAACAACUUGUUCAAAACAGAGGACUGUUAAUUCGUGCUUCAGCAGUACCAAACACAAAGAUGAAGCAUAGAACUAAGAAGAAAAAAGAAAAGCUGUCCAUGUGGCUGUCGUUUUCUGUUUAGCUUGAACAGACAUGUUUUGCAAUUGGUAGGAACAACAUGCUUAGCUUUUGGGCUCCUGUGUCUGAGCUUGCUAUUUUUUUCAUUAAAACAGUGGGCAGCAGUUCUUAGGUUGUCUGUCUUUCAGACCAUAACCCUUUUUAAAGUAGCUUUAAAGCUUCAGGUUUGUUUGGUUCGUGAGGUUGGCCCUUGCUAGAGUACCUCAUUCUGAGCUGGAAGGAGUCAUUCAUUCUUAUCCUUACUUCUUGGAAGGUGUGUAUCAAAAAAUGACUAAGACAUCUCACUGGUUUACCUUUCUCUAUGCCUCAAAUUGUUAAGACAUCUCUUUUUACUGCAACUCUAACUUCAAGCAGCAAUACAAAAUAGGACGCGUGUGUGUGUGUGAAGAGCUACUUACGAAACACAGGACAGGUUGUAUGGAUGGUACUCUCCCGUUUAGUCAUAAAUGUCAGCCUAAGCUGCCAUCUCACAGUGAAGAUCCCAUCAUAAAUUUCCACCUGGGCCCUUUUUUCUCUUAAUUACCUGGUUCAUACUUUCUCAGACCAAUUUGUGGUGGUUCAGAAGCCCAAGGUGCAGUGGGCAGGCUGUGUGCACCACUGCAGCAGCACUGACCAGCAUCCAUGAUUCUUCUGUUGGAGUGAAUCAACAGAAGUGUGCUCCUGUUCUGGAUGUGAAGAGACUUCACCGUGCUGGGCAGAGAAAUACUCUUCUUGAUUCCUGCACCCCAUAUUAAAAUCUAUUGCUGAGAUCAACAAAAAAGAAAUGAUAAAAUUUUUCCUUAUGGUAAACAAACAAGGUCAGACAAGGCUCUCUAGGUAUUACGAGCAUGUAGAAAUUAAUAAACGGACAAUGCUGGAAGCUGAAGUAAUCAAAAAAUGUCUCUCCCGUUCAAAGGAUCAGUGCUCUUUCAUUGAGUAUAAGGACUUUAAGCUGGUAUAUCGGCAGUAUGCAGCCCUUUUCAUAGUCGUCGGAAUCAAUGAGACAGAGAAUGAGAUGGCAGUAUAUGAACUAAUUCAUAAUUUUGUGGAAGUUUUGGACAAAUACUUCAGCAGAGUGAGUGAAUUAGAUGUAUCCUUUUCAGUAUCAGAAAUCCAUUUAUCCAUGUCUUUUUGGUGUAUGUUCCAGUUCAUACUGUCUGCGUAGCACUGAUUGUCAAAUUUUGCACUUACACAGCUUGAAUAGCAGGCCCAGAAGAACAAUGUAAGAUUUGGACUACGAGUGUCUUAGAUGUUAAUGCAGUACAAGCAAUAAUCCAUCAAUAUGCCUUUCACAGUAUGCUGACAACUUUUUAGGAGCAUUUCCUAGCUGGGUGCUCUGAAAACUUUUAUUACAGACUUUUAUCUACAGACGCAGAGAUUAAGGUCUGUUUUCUUCUGCACACUUUUUAAAAAAUUUCUGUUAGCCUCUGCACAGAUUAGUGAAAGCCCCUUAAUCCUCUUUUGUGGGCAGCCAGGAUUCUUACUGGAAGCAGGACAUUAAAUGACAGCUCUGGGUGGAGCACACGCACCGAAUAUGGCUUUUUCCGGUUGCCAGUUGCUCAAACUGGUUUGCUGUGGUGCUUUGCAGCUGGGUGUGGAUCUAUGACUUCAGGGCUUUAAACCCUGAAAUUUGGGGUCACUUGUCAAACAAGUGACAGGUGGGGAGAACGAGCCUUGCCAGGCAUCAGAGAUCCCUAUCCCUCAGGGGGCAGGGCGUUCAGGCUGAAUGGGUAAGCAGCGUGUGAUGAGAUGUAACCAUAGACCAGUCAUGAGACUUGGAGGGAGGGGGAAAAAGCCAAAGCUGCUCCCUGUGCCAUCUGACUGCCAAGAGCAGCCUGGUAAAGGGGGUGGGAAGGGAACAGAAAAAGGAAGCCGGUAUGCGAGGCUGAGGGCAGAGGGUAAGGAAUGCUUUGGGACCUGCCAAAAUCAAGGUGCUAGAGCUUUCCAGAAUGGUAUUAGUAUCCCCAUUCAAACUGCAGGUGAAAUCGCUGGUUCUGGAACAGUGACUGCGAGAAUAACUGGUCACACAGAUGGAUGGAAAUGUUACCGCUGUUUUCUGUAAUGAGCAGACCAGUUUUGAAAUAACCUGGAGUGGCCCUGCAGGGGAACUGCCAUCUCAUUGAACCAUAUUGGGUCUGAGUGGAACAGCUGAAAGAUACUUACUGGUAUGGGAGCAGUUUUCCUUUGGCACGCUAUCAGCUCGUUAGGAAAUGCAGUAGGGGAAGAAAGCAGUGUUAAGUGUGUUUUAAAUGUUUUCUUAAAGUGAUGCAGAAGAAUAAGGUGGGAGCAGCACGCUGCUGCAUCAUCACAGAUCCUGGUUGAUCCAGUCGUCUGGGUUUUAGAGCCGUAGGACUCCCAAAGGAAGAGGAAGGCCUGGAGAGACGGGAGCUCUCGCUCCACCGUGGGAACUGGAGCACUGUGAAUCAGUGGUAGUGUAAAAAUUAAAAGCUGGGGAGGAGGAGCUGGCUUUAUCGCUUGUUGAAACCUGAAUGGAAUGUUAUCUGCCUUUGUUAACAGAUCCUCCUGCCCUGUGUGCAGCAGUGCCAGAGCUGAACUAAGCAACAGCAGAGCUGUCGUCCUGAGUUUCUCAUGUUACUGGGAUAAAGAAAUCCUAACUUCUCAGAGUAAAAUAUUUAUGUAGAGAAUGUUUACUUGAAAAGUAUACCAUAGGAAGAAAUUUGUCUCUAGUCCUUAAUCUGCCAAGCAAAGUAAAACUACUAUCUUUGUCUCUGGAACCACAGAAACUGGGAGUGUUAAAAGUUUUAAGGGUAGUAGUGCUCGUCCGUAUUGAAAGGCACGAGUCUGACUUCUAGAAGCAAGUUAGGCCUGCAGUCAGACCUGGGAAGAAGCCUGGUUAUUUAAAAUACAGCUCAGAAUUAAAUCAGGUGGUUAAGUUUAGGCCAGCAAAUUGGAACCUAUUUGAUGAACCACGGAUGUACAGAAGAUCUUGUUGACAGCUACAGUUUCUCUUCCUCACUUAACAGUAACGAGUAGUAAAGUUAUUUGGGGGCCUGAAUUCCGUUACCUAGAGGUGCUGUGCUCUUGGUCAAGCAGAAUGGAUUUGUUGGAGCAGUGACACAAUUUCUUACCCUUCUGCAGGAGUAUAUGGUAGCGCUCGCUGCAGCCCAAAGCGCUCACAGCAAUUUGAAGCAGCAGAGGAAGGCAGCAGCCUGCCAGCUGGGUUCUCAGCGACGUGACCAUACAGGUUCACCCUACAGCUUAGCCUGAACAAGUUCAAGCUUCUACUUCUCAUCUCUUAGAAGGGUGGUCGCACGCAAGGCUGACGUGACUCUGUGCCCCUCUUCUUGCUUUAACAGAGAUAGGGACAAAACCUGAACCUUCUCUCGUCGCAGGAUAGACAGUCAGACUCCAGAACUUUCACAUAACAGCAGGAGAACCUUGAGUAGAAGGCAGGAGGUGCAGCUGCUACCAACGCAGCUAAACUUGCCCCUGGAGAAAGGGGGGUUUGGAAUUCCCCAGGCUGAGGACAGGCUCAGCCUCUGCCCUCCAUGGGAUUCAGGCAGGCUGCACCUCUAUACAUUUUAGAAGACACCAAGCCAGUUGUCAUUACACAAAGUAAUCACAGAAAACUCCCUCUCUGCAUUCCCGGAGAGGUAAUUCAGCCUUGGUUCCCUAGAAUCUGUGAAUUGUUUGAUGGGUCCGUCUUUCACCACUCACUGCAGGGAAAAUAAGGCACCUAACUGAGGUCAAGGAAUUCCCUUCUCAAAGCCAGGUGCUGAAAAACGAGGCAUGGAGACAUUCAAUGUUACUUAAUUUAAAUCCAUUCCUUGCAUUUAGACCCAAGACUGUUCACUUUCAUGAGCUUACGUCGGUGCAGCUCUGGUGCUUUAAAGUGUCUCCCCAACCACUUGUAUUUAUUUGUUCCCCCUAGGGGGUAAAUGCAAGUGUGUGGCUUCUCAGCUGCUCUGUACAGCUCGGCGCUCCCCCUGUUCCUGCUUCGGCAGAGCGCAGCAGUUAGCUCCACCAGAACUCGUGCUGCAGAGCAGUCCCCUUAAAUACCCCAGUCACGUUCAAAAAACGAGACUUAAUCUUCGUCACGCUGAGCAGAGGAAAGCCUUGAUGCCUUCUAAAACCUGCCUCUUGCUACUCUACUGAUCAGAAUGGAUGUCCACAAACAUAAAUACAACGACUAGGGCAAAAGCAGGCUGGCCUCUGAGCUCAAACUUGUGUUGUUUCAGGUUAUUUUCCUUUAGGUGAACAUUUAGAGAUAAGUAUAUUUUAGAAAGUAUUUAAAAUAGGAACCAUUUACUUCUGUUCUUCUUCCUGAGCUUUAUUACUCGAUCAACAACUCAACUUCACAUAUCGGCAUAUUCCUUUCAAGCAGAUCAAACAGCGUUAGUAACUUAGGAUAAGGACAAUUUGAGAAUCAUAUUUUAAGAAUUUGGCUGACACUUUUUAAAGAAGAAAUGCAGAAUAUUUACAUCUUCGCACUCAAGGUUGUUAUCCCUUGGUAACAUUUUAUAUUCAAGCAAUACAUGGUACUCAGGCAAACAGUAAAAUUAACCAUCUACGUAUAAGCUAAAAUUUACCUUGAGCUUACUACUAUGUAGUAAUCUUCCAGGACGAGAUAUACUGGGGCUUCAGCUUCUCUACUACAAACUUCUGACAUCUCUCUGAUCAGAAAAAAGUGUCAGUUGAACCAUUUUCUUAGCUUUACUAAAAUAAACACCCAAAUAAACUACAAGAAAUCCCUAUUCUUGUAAACUUUGGUUAGACUAACGUGCCCAAGGUUUGCUCUGAAUGUUGUUCAAAAUACACUUAACUUGAAAUGUUUCCAGAUAAUGUUCAAUUUGGACAGAGUGCACAUCAUUUUGGAUGAAAUGGUGCUGAAUGGUUGCAUUGUGGAGACAAACAGGAACAGAAUUCUUGCCCCUCUGUUUGUGCUUGACAAAGUGGCAGAAAACUAGGAAGA